AGGUCUCCAUAGUCACGUGUUGGCUUAGUGGAGAAGUCAGCAGAAGUCAUAGUACCUAAAGCAACGAGCUGUGCGAAGCACAGAGGUCUCACUAUUAGGGAAGGAC
rnacentral:ncRNA from 1 species